AUGCACGCUGGCGGCGUGCCUAAUACAUGCCAGUCGAGCGAACGGACGAGAAGCUUGCUUCUCUGAUGUUAGCGGCGGACGGGUGAGUAACACGUGGAUAACCUACCUAUAAGACUGGGCUAACUUCGGGAAACCGGAGCUAAUACCGGAUAAUAUUUUGAACCGCAUGGUUCAAAAGUGAAAGACGGUCUUGCUGUCACUUAUAGAUGGAUCCGCGCUGCAUUAGCUAGUUGGUAAGGUAACGGCUUACCAAGGCAACGAUGCAUAGCCGACCUGAGAGGGUGAUCGGCCACACUGGAACUGAGACACGGUCCAGACUCCUACGGGAGGCAGCAGUAGGGAAUCUUCCGCAAUGGGCGAAAGCCUGACGGAGCAACGCCGCGUGAGUGAUGAAGGUCUUCGGAUCGUAAAACUCUGUUAUUAGGGAAGAACAUAUGUGUAAGUAACUGUGCACAUCUUGACGGUACCUAAUCAGAAAGCCACGGCUAACUACGUG
rnacentral:rRNA from 1 species